rnacentral:rRNA from 1 species
AACGAACGCUGGCGGCAUGCCUAACACAUGCAAGUCGAACGGGAUCCUAGCUUGCUAGGUGAGAGUGGCGGACGGGUGAGUAACACGUGGGAAUCUGCCUUUUGGUUCGGGAUAACCGCGGGAAACUGCGGCUAAUACCGAAUGCCCUCGAGAGAGGAAAGAUUUAUCGCCAGAAGAGGAGCCCGCGUCCGAUUAGGUAGUUGGUGGGGUAAAGGCCUACCAAGCCGACGAUCGGUAGCUGGUCUGAGAGGAUGAUCAGCCACACUGGGACUGAGAUACGGCCCAGACUCCUACGGGAGGCAGCAGUGGGGAAUAUUGGACAAUGGGGCGAACCCUGAUCCAGCAAUGCCGCGUGAGUGAUGAAGGCCUUAGGGUUGGUUAAAGACUCUUUUUGUCCAGGGAAGGAAUGAUGACUGUACCUGGA